rnacentral:tRNA from 1 species
GCGUUGUGGCUCAGUGGUAGAGCACUUACCUAGCAUGCAUGAGGCACUGGGUUCAAUACUCAGUACCACACA